rnacentral:rRNA from 1 species
GAUGAACGCUGGCGGCGUGCCUAAUACAUGCAAGUAGAACGCUGAAGCUUGGUGCUUGCACCGAGCGGAUGAGUUGCGAACGGGUGAGUAACGCGUAGGUAACCUGCCUGGUAGCGGGGGAUAACUAUUGGAAACGAUAGCUAAUACCGCAUAACAGUAGAUAUUGCAUGAUAUCUGCUUGAAAGGUGCAAAUGCAUCACUACCAGAUGGACCUGCGUUGUAUUAGCUAGUUGGUGAGGUAACGGCUCACCAAGGCGACGAUACAUAGCCGACCUGAGAGGGUGAUCGGCCACACUGGGACUGAGACACGGCCCAGACUCCUACGGGAGGCAGCAGUAGGGAAUCUUCGGCAAUGGGGGGAACCCUGACCGAGCAACGCCGCGUGAGUGAAGAAGGUUUUCGGAUCGUAAAGCUCUGUUGUAAGAGAAGAACGAGUGUGAGAGUGGAAAGUGCACACUGUGACGGUAUCUUACCAGAAAGGGACGGCUAACUACGU